rnacentral:rRNA from 1 species
AACGAACGCUGGCGGCAUGCCUAACACAUGCAAGUCGAACGAGACCUUCGGGCCUAGUGGCGCACGUGUGCGUAACGCGUGGGAACCUGCCCUUAGGUUCGGAAUAACUCCCCGAAAGGGGUGCUAAUACCGGAUAAUAUCUUCGGACCAAAGAUUUAUGGCCUUUGGAUGGGCCCGCGUUGGAUUAGCUCGUUGGUAGGGUAAAAGCCUACCAAGGCGACGAUGCAUAGCUGGUCUGAGAGGAUGAUCAGCCACACUGGGACUGAGACACGGCCCAGACUCCUACGGGAGGCAGCAGUGGGGAAUAUUGGACAAUGGGGGAAGGGCUGAUCCAGCAAUGCCGCGUGAGUGAUGAAGGCCUUAGGGUUGUAAAGCUCUUUUACCCGGGAUGAUAAUGACAGUACCGGGAGAAUAAGCUCCGGCUAACUCCGUG